rnacentral:rRNA from 1 species
UACGAGUGCUCCAAGCGUUAUCCGGAAUUAUUGGGCGUAAAGGGUGUGUAGGUGGUUGUGUUAGUCUUUUGUUAAAUUCUUCGGCUUAACCGGGGGCAUGCAAAGGAAACGGCACAACUAGAGGAUGCGAGAGGUGAACGGAACUCAUGGAGUAGGGGUGAAAUCCGUUGAUAUCAUGGGGAACACCAAUUGCGAAGGCAGCUCGCUGGGACGUUACUGACGCUGAGACGCGAAAGCGUGGGGAGCAAACAGG